UCCUACGGGAGGCAGCAGUGGGGAAUAUUGCGCAAUGGGCGAAAGCCUGACGCAGCGACGCCGCGUGGGGGAUGACGGCCUUCGGGUUGUAAACCUCUUUCAGCAGGACGAAGUUGACGUGUACCUGCAGAAGAAGCGCCGGCUAACUACGUGCCAGCAGCCGCGGUAAUACGUAGGGCGCAAGCGUUGUCCGGAAUUAUUGGGCGUAAAGAGCUCGUAGGUGGCUUGUCGCGUCGGAUGUGAAAGCUUGGGGCUUAACUCCAGGUCUGCAUUCGAUACGGGCUGGCUAGAGGUAGGUAGGGGCAAGCGGAAUUCCUGGUGUAGCGGUGGAAUGCGCAGA
rnacentral:rRNA from 1 species